UUGUUUAGUCGUUUAGUGGUGUCCGCCUCUUCGUGGCCCCCUGGACCAGAGCACGCCAGGCACUCCUGUCUUCCACUGCCUCCCGCAGUUUGGUCAGACUCAUGCUGGUAGCUUCGAGAACACUGUCCCACCAUCUCGUCCUCCGUCGUCCCCUUCUCCUUGCGCCCUCCAUCUUUCCCAACAUCAGGGUCUUUUCCAGGGAGUCUUCUCUUCUCAUGAGGUGGCCAAAGUCUUGGAGCCUCAGCUUCAGGAUCUGUCCUUCCAGUGAGCACUCAGGGCUGAUUUCCUUCAGGAUGGAGAGGUUUGAUCUUCUUGCAGUCCAUGGGACUCUCAAGAGUCUCCUCCAGCACCAGAAUUCAAAAGCAUCCAUUCUUCGUCGAUCAGCCUUCUUUAUGGUCCAGCUCUCACUUCCAUCCAUCACUCCUGGGAAAACCAUGGUUUAACUAUACGGACCUUUGUUGCCAAGGUGGCCGAUAGUCAGGUGCAAAAGGCACCUGGAGCGUGGCUGAUUUUGAACGCUGCUCAGAAGAGCGCCAUCUAGCAUCCUGUUCUCACCCAGAUGCCCAUGGUGGGAAACUCGCAAUCAGGAUUCGAACACAAGACCCGCUCUCCCCUCCUGCGGUUUCCAGGAGGGAAUUCAGAGGCAUCGCUGCCUCCAACCGUGGAGGCAGGACAGAGCCAUUGUGGCUAGGAGGAGUAAUAAUAAUAAUAAUAAUAAUAAUUUAUUAUUUCUACCCUGUCCAUCUGGCUGGGUUUCCCCAGCAACUCUGGGCAGCUUUCAACAGAACAUUAAAAGCACAUCAAACAUUAAAAACUUCCCUGAACAGGCCUGCCUUCAGAUGUCUUCUAAAAGUCUGGUGGUUGUUUAUUUCCUUGGCAUCUGAAGGGAAGGCGUUCCACAGGGCGGGCGCCACCACCGAGAAGGCCCUCUGCCUGGUUCCCUGUAACUUGGCUUCUCACAGAGAGGGAACCGCCAGAAGGCCCUCGGAGCUGGACCUCAGCGUCUGGGCUGAAUGAUGGGGGUGGAGCCAUCAAUAGCCCUCUCCCCCUCCAUGAAUUUGUCCUGCCCUCUUUUAAAGCCAUCCAGGUUCAUGGCCAUCACUGACUCCAGUGGCAGGGAGUUCCACAGUUCGAAGUCUUGCCAUGGACUGCCUGGAUGCCGUUGAAUGGUAGGAGGCACCAGCCAGGGAACCCCCAAGGGAGGGAGCCCAGGGGGAGACAGACCCUCAAAGUAUCCCAAUUUUCCAGGGACAGUCCCGGAUUGACAGAAACCGUCCCAGUUUCUGAACUGAUCCCGGAACCUCCCACUUUUCCUUGUUGUUGUUGUUGCUGUGUCGUUUAGUCAUGUCCGCCUCUUCGUGACCCCCUGGACCAGAGCACACCAGGCACUCCUGUCUUCCACUGCCUCCCGCACUUUGGUCAAACUCAUGCUAGUAGCUUCGAGAACACUGUCCCACCAUCUCGUCCUCUGUCGUCCCCUUCUCCUUGCGCCCUCCAUCUUUCCCAACAUCAGUGUCUUUUCCAGGGAGUCUUCUCUUCUCAUGAGGAGGCCAAAGUCUUGGAGCCUCAGCUUCAGGAUCUGUCCUUCCAGUGAGCACUCAGGGCUGAUUUCCUUCAGAAUGGAGAGGUUUGAUCUUCUUGCAGUCCAUGGGACUCUCAAGAGUCUCCUCCAGCACCAGAAUUCAAAAGCAUCCAUUCUUCGGCG